GAAUCCCGUCUUUGGCACGGACCCCCAGGGCUUCUGCGAUGCGCUCUCGAAGAGUCGAGUUGUUUGGGAAUGCAGCUCAAAAUGGGUGGUGAACUCCAUCUAAAGCUAAAUAUUGGCGAGAGACCGAUAGCGAACAAGUACCGUGAGGGAAAGAUGAAAAGCACUUUGGAAAGAGAGUGAAACAGUACGUGAAAUUGUUGAAAGGGAAACGCUUGAAGUCAGUCGCGUCGAUCGAGACUCAGCCUUGCCUUGGCUUGGCGUACUUCUCGGCUUGACGGGUCAGCAUCGAUUUCGACCCUCAGAUAAUGAUGGGGGAAAGGUGGCACCUUUACAGGUGUGUUAUAGUCCUCUAUCGGAUGUGCGGGUUGGGAUCGAGGAACUCAGCACGCACCUCUCGGUGUCGGGGCCUCGGCCCACGUUCACGUGCUUAGGAUGCUGGCGUAAUGGCUUUAAACGACCCGUCUUGAAACACGGACCAAGGAGUCUAACAUACGCGCGAGUGUUUGGGUGGAAAACCCAUGCGCGCAAUGAAAGUAAAAGUUGGGACCUCUGUCGUGGAGGGCACCGACGCCCGGACCAGACCUUCUGUGACGGCUCUGCGGUAGAGCGUGUAUGUUGGGACCCGAAAGAUGGUGAACUAUGCCUGAAUAGGGUGAAGCCAGAGGAAACUCUGGUGGAGGCUCGUAGCGAUUCUGACGUGCAAAUCGAUCGUCAAAUUUGGGUAUAGGGGCGAAAGACUAAUCGAACCAUCUAGUAGCUGGUUCCUGCC
rnacentral:rRNA from 1 species